ensembl:lncRNA
AUGCUGGGGAAGGGACAGAAGCCAAGUUGUUCAUCUCUAGUUCCCAUAAACUCCUCAAGUCUUGUCCCGAAACCCCCACGCAGAUCCUUUUCGGGCAAUACAUUUGAUUUGCCGCUCAAGACCGUGUUUCCUCCUCUCCUCUCAAAGGGAUUGAAAUCUCUCAAGAAUGUUAGAAAGACAGGCCUAGAGAAGGCAGAGAUUGCCCCAGAUUUGCCCGUGGUAACUCUGAGGAUCCUCAGGUUUAAGAACCCAGAUCACCUGCCUGUCCACCAAAGUUUCAUCACUUGGCCAGACCAUCCUCCCACCGUACCCUGUCAACAUCAUCCAAGCCCAAAGGAUCUGAAGGUAAUUUUCUCCCUGUUUUAACACUCAGGUUCUUACCUUGUCCUAGAAAGGCAGCUUGGUGUUUGCAGAAAGAGCCACAGGCUCUGAGGAAAGAGACCCUUGGACCAGAAUUGGGUAAAGGGUGCAUUAAUCCGGACCAGGGAUACAAGGAAAAUCAGUUCUGGACCAAAUAUUUUUCUGGGAAGGCAGGGUGAGUAGGCCCAACAUCAUGGGAUCAGAACUCAGCAUUAGAGACCUGGACAUUAGAAGCAGGAGAUAGGGAUGGCAGGUGAGAGAUAAAUUCAAAUGGAUUCUGAGGAGCUGGGAGCUUCAAAGUCAAGGGAUUACAGCUCAGUUUGGAUAGGCAUCUGAGGAUAUUGAGAGGCUAGAGAGGUGGGUGAGUGGGGCUGCCUGGGAACUCCAGGUAACCUGGAUAUCCUGUCUCAAUACCUUAGAUUUCAUUUCACUCCCAGAGAAGCUGGUAAACACACACCCUUGGUCCCUCCUACCUGCUUCUGUACUGGCUGUUUAAAGCUUAGCUCUCCUGUUAGUUUAGACCUUUCCCGGUUAUGAAGAGGACCUGUUUAGGAGCUCAAAGAAGAAGACAUGAAAAGGGAGAGAGGUGCAGAAAGACAAAAAAGAAUGAGAUGAAAAUGGAGUCUUGAAAAUAUGAUCAGAGGGAGCAUACUAUCCUCUAANNNNNNNNNNNNNNNNNNNNNNNNNNNNNNNNNNNNNNNNNNNNNNNNNNNUCUUGGUAGCUGUGGAAACAGCACCUGAGAGGGUAAGAGGUGAUGCUGCUGGGAUGAGUCCAUCAAGGAGACGUGAGACCAUGUGAAUGCUCAGGUAUGAGAGCCUGCAUUUAGGAUAGGGUAGUGAACUUGAGCACUGGACUGACUGGGAGCUCAGCGGCAGCUUAGGUGAGAAAUGUUUGGAGCUUGCAGUGGACUCAGGCUCACUCUGUGCACGGUGCCAGGCAUGUACUGGGUGUUCAGUAACACCCAGAGUAGAGGAAUAAAUGUGUAUAAACCCAGGAAGAGACGUAACUUAUAAUUUAAAUAGUGGUUAAUUAGGUAGGAAUAGGAAAUUUAAAGUGCUAUUCCAUUCUCAGAAACACUAUAAAUAAUGCAUUAUUAACAGAUAGAUAAUAAAUGAACUAUAGUAUGAACCUAGGUCAGUCUGACUGCAGAGGCUUCCAGGAAGUCUUCCCUGAUUCCCCAUUCCCUUCUCACAGACCUUACUCUCCUUGGAGAACAGGUUAUGCUGCCCAGCAGCAGGGCCAGUGUACAUGUUUUCUGUUGCUGCUCUGACAAACUGUCACGAGCUUAAUGGCUUAAAACAACACAAAUGUGUUAUCUUACAGUUCUGGAGGCCACAGGUCUGAAAUCAAUUUUAUUGGGUCAAGUUAAAAAGUGUUGGUAACCUCUUCUGGAGACUCUAGGGGGCAGUCCAUUUAUUUGCCUUUUCUAGCUUCUAGAGGCUGCUUGUGUUCCUGGACUCAUGGCCCCUUCCUCCAUCUUCAAAGCCAGCAACAUAGUAUUCUGCCUUUCUGACCUCUACUUCCGUUCUUACAUCUUUCUCUGAUUCUCCUGUCUCCUAUUAGGAGGAUUACAUUGUGAUUAUGUAUCCUCGUGCUUACAUUGGGCCCACUGUGAUAACAGAAUCAUGUCCCUAUCUCAAGAUCCCUACUUUAACCAUAUCUUCCAAGUCGUUUUUGCCAUAUAAGGUAAACUAUUCCCAGAUUCUGGAGAUUAGGACUUGAACAUCUUUGGAGGAAGGACCGUUAUUCAGCCCUCCUCAAGCAGAGAUGGAGGGUGGGCGGGAAGAUGUACCCAGGCCCAGAACAAGCCUCUCAGCUGUGUCGAGCCUCCUUUAGCCUGGAGUGAGAGGUGGUGCCAGGGAGAGAUAGCCAACCCAGGCCCCAUGUCUAGAGAAUGGCAAAUGCCUCCUGCAUCACUACCAAAGAGAGCUGAGAGUGAAGGUCAUACUUGGGAGAAAGUCUCUGUUUAGGGAACUUUUCAGAUCUGAGACUUCCCUGGUGAAUGUAGUGGAGGGUUCCAACAGGUUCUGUCUUCAAUAUUGCCUCCUCUCCAGAAUCAUACCUUGUUCCUCCUCAAGGUAGAAGAUAAUUACCAGCUAACACUAGCCUGAGCUCUCUCUACAAAGAGUAGAUUAGUUGUCUCUUUUUAGAAUUAUUAUUUUUUCAUUCCUUGUUAAACCAUGCUCAGCGGAGAAUGGUGACCUCUUGUCAUUAGUUGAUACCAGGCCCCUUUUUGUUUGAUUUUCUUCUUUUAAUCCCUGAUCCUUAUUCUCAUUCCUCUCCCUGACCCAGACACACACUUCAAUGUGUUCAGUAUGUGUUUGGAUAUGUAUGUAUCUUUGAAAUAUAAUUAUGUGCUUAUGUGUUUUAAUGUGUAUAAAUGAUAUACUUCUAAAGUAAGCCAACCUUUAUAAUGAAUUAACCCAUAUUACAGUGNNNNNNNNNNNNNNNNNNNNNNNNNNNNNNNNNNNNNNNNNNNNNNNNNNNNNNNNNNNNNNNNNNNNNNNNNNNNNNNNNNNNNNNNNNNNNNNNNNNACUUCUAAAGUAAGCCAACCUUUAUAAUGAAUUAACCCAUAUUACAGUGAUUUAACACAAUAAAGAUUUAUUUUUCACUUACACAGCAGCACAGGUAUUCUUGGUUGGAUGGCUCUCCUUCACUGCCCAUUUCAUGUCCUAGACUCCUUCCAUUUUCAGGUGGUGAUAGGCUGACCCUGUAUCGUAAGGUUCUCUAUCAAUUCUUCACCAAAUUGUUACCAUCCAUUUAUGACCAUUUUAUAAAUUGGUUAUUUCACUAGCAAUUACAAAAUGAUUAUUCUCUAAUGCUGUUGUUUUUUCUUCUAUUAGUUCUAAUUCUCUACAGAAAAACGUUUUUUACAUCCUUCAGGACCAUUUGGUUACCCUGAAAUAAAGUUCAUACCAGAAUGGCAAGAUAAGUGCUUAAAUCUCUGCCCUUAUUUAUCCCUUUCAAAUAGUAAGUUGAUGUCCUAGCAACUUGGUGUUCAAUGAUUUUGUUUUGUUUUACUUUCUUUU